CGAUUCAAAAUCAAAAUACGACAGAAAACAAAUUGUUAUAAAGUGAACGAAUUAAACACAGUGAAAUAAAUAACAUGCAUUUUGUUGAUAUUCCUAUAACGUAGUCCAGGACGACGAAAUAAAAUAUAAUCAAACUAUAAACAUAGAUGAAAAAAUAAAUAUUAUAGUAAGUAUCUAUUAUAUUAUUAUUAUUAUUAAAAAUAAUAAAAUAAAAUAAAUAAGUAGUUUAAUUUAUUUAUAAGUUAUAUUUAUCCAUAAAAUUAAUCUUCUCCUUUAUCCUUAUAUAAUAAAAUGUGAAGGAAUUCGCGACGUUGGCGAUGCAGCAAAUAAGGAACGCCAAUUAGAAAAUUAGAUUUUUUUCUGAUCGCUGUUUUCUGAACUCCGUGGCCGCGUCGUUAUCGAAACGAAUAGUUCUCCUACCGUCGAUAAUGCGAUUAUCAAAACAAACGGUUCUCCUCUGGUUAAUAACACGAGUUUUUGAAAACAAUUUUUACAGUUUUCGCCGGAUUUUUCAAUUUUUCCGAACGUUUUUCACUUCGUUGUUUGCGUAGCUCGCGUCUCUUGAAGACCGUGCGUAUACCUGUUUUUCGUCGUUUGUUUUUGUAGCUGUCACGAUCGCGAUUGUCUGUAUAUGAAAUAUAUACUAUUUGAAGCUUGAGUUUACACAACAUUUUGAUUACACUUGCUACUCGCAUAUUGUCCUCGAUGUAACGCAGUCGGCUUGCUUACAUGGCUCAAACCUCACUGAUCCGGUGAAACGAUUUUCACUCGACCAACUUGAAGGCACCCGAGGAAAUUUCCAAACUCCAGCAAUUAAGUUUCCGCCAGCCACUAGUUGUGAUAAUAAAUUACGAAAUGACAAGAAUAUUAAUAAUAAUGAUUGCAAGACAGUGGUGUACCUGAAUUGCCUAUCCAAAACGCCGCUGAACAUAAUAUCAGUAAUGAAAAUAUGUGUACGCAAUAUUGCCAUUUUAUAUAAUAUAAUAUAUAUUAUAUAUAAAAACAAAUAGAAAAACUUUUCUAAAAAACAUUAGAAAUAUCGACCAUUAUUAAAAAUAAAUAUUUUUUUUUUGAAAUAAAUUUAAAUGGCUGUUGCUCAUAUCCAGGUUUAGGUACACGAUAAAGGAAUUCUUAACGAUAAAUUAUACGUAGGUACCUAUGUACGUUAUUUUAUGAUUCUGUUUUUAAAAAUUGAGUAAAACAGUUUACAUAGAAUAUACUAGAGAAAACGUCGUUAACUUAAUAUAUUUAUAAUAUUGGAGCGCAUUGUAUUUAUAAUAUUAUAUUACUACAGCAAUGUUUAUAUAAUAUAUAAAGAGGUAGGUAUGUGUGCUUAUUUAUAGUUUUGUUUAUGCGAAUAAAUGUUUUAAUAACCGAUUGUGUUUCGCUAAAUUGUAAAAUAACUCGGAAAUUUCUUCUAGGUUUUCGUGUGUAUACUUUUGCGUACCAUUACAUACAUUAUAGGCUUGUAGAGUUAUAAUAUUUAUUAG